CAGCCCAAAUACCCUCGAAAGAGUGCACUAAGGAGAAACAAGCUCAAGAACUGUGCUAUCAUCAAAUUCCCCUUUAUCCUUGAGUCAGCCAUGAAGAGGACAGAAGACAACAACACGUUUGUGUUCAUUGUGGAUGUCAAGGCUAACAAGCACCAGAUCAAACAGGCUGUGAAGAAACUCUAUGACAUUGAUGUGGCCAAAGUCAAUACCCUGCUGUGGCCUGACAGAGAGAAGAAGGUGUAUGUUAGACUGGUUCCUCAUUAUGGUGCUCUGGAUGUUGCCAACAAAAUUGAGAUC
rnacentral:lncRNA from 1 species